rnacentral:rRNA from 1 species
CGCUGGCGGCGUGCCUAAUACAUGCAAGUCGAACGGUCUUUCUAUGGAAGCUUGCUUCCACUGAGAAGAUAGUGGCGAACGGGUGAGUAACACGUGGGUAACCUGCCCAUAAGAGGGGGGAUAACAUCCGGAAACGGGUGCUAAUACCGCAUAGUUUUCUUGAUCGCAUGAUCGGGAAAGGAAAGACGGCCUUUGUGCUGUCGCUUAUGGAUGGACCCGCGGCGUAUUAGUUAGUUGGUGAGGUAACGGCUCACCAAGACGAUGAUACGUAGCCGACCUGAGAGGGUGAUCGGCCACAUUGGGACUGAGACACGGCCCAAACUCCUACGGGAGGCAGCAGUAGGGAAUCUUCCGCAAUGGACGAAAGUCUGACGGAGCAACGCCGCGUGAGUGAAGAAAAGGUUUUCGGAUCGUAAAACUCUGUUGUCAGAGAAGAACAAGUUGGAGAGUAACUGCUCCAGCCUUGACGGUAUCUGACCAGAAAGCCACGGCUAACUACGUGCCAGCAGCCGC